rnacentral:rRNA from 1 species
UCGGCGGACUGGUGAGUAACACGUGGAUAACCUACCUAUAAGACUGGGAUAACUUCGGGAAACCGGAGCUAAUACCGGAUAAUAUAUUGAACCGCAUGGUUCAAUAGUGAAAGACGGUUUUGCCGUCACUUAUAGAUGGAUCCGCGCCGCAUUAGCUAGUUGGUAAGGUAACGGCUUACCAAGGCAACGAUGCGUAGCCGACCUGAGAGGGUGAUCGGCCACACUGGAACUGAGACACGGUCCAG